ACUGUCCAAGCCUUCUGUGUGAGGAACUGGAGGAUUUGUCAAAAAACAGCAACCGAGGGAACAUGAGCAGGAGGAGGAGGAGGGAAACGGAGGAGGAAGUGUUUAGUCAGUGGGAGGAUGAAGAGGCAGCAGAGGAGACAUGGCGAGAAGAGAAGGACGGGGAGGGGGGGAAAGAAGAGAAAGUUGUGACAGAGGGAGAAGAGGAGGAGCAGGUGAAGCCUGAGAGUAGGCUGAAAGUGGUACAGGAGGUGCAGAUGGAAGACGACAAGAUUGAGAAGGCCAAGGAAACAAUUGCUGAUGAACAAGAGAGUAAAGUGACAAAGCGCUUAGCACAAAAAGAUGAGCAGAAGAAGAGUAAGAACAAGCGAGGUAGGAAGCAAAGUGAGCAGGUGAGAAGUAAGGGAGGAGUAAAGGAUGUUGGUGAGAGGUCUGAGGAGGAGAAGACAAGUGAGACACAGGAGGUGCCAGCGAUGAGCUCAGAGGAGACCUCGGCUCUGACAAACAGCUGUGACCUCUCUGACCCACUCUACUUGGGGUUUGUGGGGACAGGGCUGUGUUGUCCCCAGUUCCCAUCCCCUGCUGUACUCCUCACAGCCUCCUGUCUCCAUCCAGCCCACAUGUCCUCAGCCACAGAGUAACAAAAGACCUCAUAGCCCCCUUCUGCCUCACAGUGUCCCGCAGCAGGGCCCACAACCACUUGAGAUGGAGAUAACGCAGGUAUACCCCACCCAACAUAGCACCAGGGGCCGAGGUCGAGCCCUCAGCUUCCCACUGCUGCCAGGGAUAGAGUCUGUGGACAGCUGCCUGCUGCCACCUGCACCGAAGAAGAGAACACGGAUUGACUACAGCACAGAUCAGUUAGAGCAUUUAGAGGCCCUGUUCCAAGAGGAUCACUAUCCGGACGUGAAAAAAGAAAAGUGAUUGCUGCUUCAGUCGGCGUCACACCUCAGAGAAUUAUGGUCUGGUUUCAGAACCGAAGGGCGAAGUGGAGGAAAGUACGUGGUGUUACAGCAAAGGUGGAACACGGACAGAGUAGAGCUGAAUACAGUCCACAUCACCAAAUCAAUCCCACUUUGCCCACACUGGCUCACAACAGCUGGGAUUACAGCGUACCAGUCUUACCCAUGGGGCAACAUGUGCAGUCAGCCAGCCAUGCACCAGCGUACUCAGUGCCCUCCUGCUUACCCUGGCAGCUUGGGACCUGGUCGAGAGCACCAGCCUACCUCUUCCACCAUCUUCCCUCUUCCUUCGUUCUUCCCUGGGGAGGACCAGGAGUCGUUGCAUGCAAAUUCCCAGGAUCCUUCACUCAACCAGACUUUCACAAGCAGCACCACCAGCACUACCACCGUCCUGCCACCUGUGUCAACGCUCCUGCCCUCUUGCCUCAGGGUGGAGGAUACUCCAGCCAGGAGUCAUUGCUAAUGCCCUCGCAGACAGAAGAAAUGGAUGUCACAGUUCCUACAGAUGACCAGGACAUCCAACUCCCUCAUCUGGACAGAAGUGAAAGCAGAGUGAUGGAUACAGGCCAGCACCAGCUUUCAUCUCAGGAGGGUUUGGUGGAGUAUCCCCCCCGUCCCAUGCAGAGCCCUCCCCCUCUGCAGCUAGCCAGCCUUCCUCUUUUCACCACAACCUUUAACUCUGCAAACCCCACUCCCCCUCUCCUCAACACACCAGCCCACACCCCACCCCUCUUCCUGGAUGCUCUGGAGGGUGGCUCUACCUUGGCCCACCAUGAGACCCAGUCUCUGCCGACUGACACCAGUUUGCUCUUUGACUUGGACUACCUGACGUCUAGCCAGCAGAGCAACACUUUGUCUUACCAGCUCCAAACCUCCUACCACACCAGCCAGCCUCAGCUCCAACCUCAAGCAUCUCUGCCCCACAUGACCUACCUCACACCACCUCCCUACCUCACCCUUAACCCUCCAGAGUCUAAUCCUACCUCCUACCUGACUUUUGGCCCUGGAGGAAACUCGACAGGAGUGGUGACCGAUUCCACCACGGGUCAUGCCUACUUUCAGUCCCAGAGUGCAAGUCAAAUCCUACUGCAGUCGUCUGGUCACCACGCUGGGAUUACAGCGUACCAGUCUUACCCAUGGGGCAACAUGUGCAGUCAGCCAGCCAUGCACCAGCGUACUCAGUGCCCUCCUGCUUACCCUGGCAGCUUGGGACCUGGUCGAGAGCACCAGCCUACCUCUUCCACCAUCUUCCCUCUUCCUUCGUUCUUCCCUGGGGAGGACCAGGAGUCGUUGCAUGCAAAUUCCCAGGAUCCUUCACUCAACCAGACUUUCACAAGCAGCACCACCAGCACUGCCACCGUCCUGCCACCUGUGUCAACGCUCCUGCCCUCUUGCCUCAGGGUGGAGGAUACUCCAGCCAGGGAGUCAUUGCUAAUGCCCUCGCAGACAGAAGAAAUGGAUGUCACAGUUCCUACAGAUGACCAGGACAUCCAACUCCCUCGUCUGGACAGAAGUAAAAGUGUUUCUGCUUUUAUCAUUUCAAUUUUGGCUUAG
ensembl:lncRNA